UCACUGCUUGCGCAGGCAGUCCCCACAGAGUGCCCGCCAUCACGCGAUGGCAACUGUAGGUAGGGGUUGCGCUCGUUAUGGCACUUAAGCCGACACCUCACGGCACGAGCUGACGACAACCAUGCAGCACCUCGCAGGAGACCAUUGCUGGCUGCCUCCUUUCAAAAACAUCCCUCCUGCGUUUGAGCCCGGGUAAGGUUCCUCGCGUAUCAUCGAAUUAAACCACAUGUUCCUCCGCUUGUGCGGGCCCCCGUCAAUUCCUUUGAGUUUCACCGUUGCCGGCGUACUCCCCAGGUGGAAUGCUUAACGCUUUCGCUGUGUCACCCAGAACUCAAUCGCCCCGGACAACUAGCAUUCAUCGUUUACUGCGUGGACUAC
rnacentral:misc_RNA from 1 species